rnacentral:rRNA from 1 species
AUACGGAGGGUGUCGAGCGUUGUUCGGAAUUAUUGGGCGUAAAGCGCGUGUAGGCGGUCUUUUAAGUCUGAUGUGAAAGCCCCGGGCUCAACCCGGGAAGUGCAUUGGAAACUGGGAGACUUGAAUACGGGAGAGGGUAGUGGAAUUCCUAGUGUAGGAGUGAAAUCCGUAGAUAUUAGGAGGAACACCGGUGGCGAAGGCGGCUACCUGGACCGAUAUUGACGCUGAGACGCGAAAGCGUGGGGAGC